rnacentral:rRNA from 1 species
CCUACGGGUGGCAGCAGUGAGGAAUAUUGGUCAAUGGGCUUACGCCUGAACCAGCCAAGUCGCGUGAGGGAAGACUGCCCUAUGGGUUGUAAACCUCUUUUGUCAGGGAGCAACGCCGGCUACGUGUAGCCGGACUGAGAGUACCUGAAGAAAAAGCAUCGGCUAACUCCGUGCCAGCAGCCGCGGUAAUACGGAGGGGGCAAGCGUUGUUCGGAAUGACUGGGCGUAAAGGGUGUGUAGGCGGUGUAGCAAGUUAGAAGUGAAAUACCUAGGGCUUAACUCAGGUGCUGCUUCUAAAACUGCUAUACUUGAGUGCAGUAGAGGAAAGUGGAAUUCCUAGUGUAGCGGUGGAAUGCGUAGAUAUUAGGAGGAACAUCAGUGGCGAAGGCGACUUUCUGGACUGUAACUGACGCUGAGGCACGAAAGUGUGGGGAGUAAACAGGAUUAGAUACCCGGGUAGUC